UACGUAGGGUGCGAGCGUUAAUCGGAAUUACUGGGCGUAAAGCGUGCGCAGGCGGUUGUGCAAGUCAGAUGUGAAAGCCCCGGGCUCAACCUGGGAAUGGCAUUUGUGACUGCACGGCUAGAGUGUGUCAGAGGGGGGUAGAAUUCCACGUGUAGCAGUGAAAUGCGUAGAGAUGUGGAGGAAUACCGAUGGCGAAGGCAGCCCCCUGGGAUAACACUGACGCUCAUGCACGGAAGCGUGGGGAGCAAACAGG
rnacentral:rRNA from 1 species